UGGGGAAUAUUGGACAAUGGGGGCAACCCUGAUCCAGCCAUGCCGCGUGAGUGAUGAAGGCCUUCGGGUUGUAAAGCUCUUUUGGCGGGGACGAUGAUGACGGUACCCGCAGAAUAAGCCCCGGCUAACUUCGUGCCAGCAGCCGCGGUAAGACGAAGGGGGCUAGCGUUGUUCGGAAUUACUGGGCGUAAGGCGAGUGUAGGCGGUUGCCGUAGUCAGGUGUGAAAGCCUUGAGCUCAACUCAAGAAAUGCACUUGAUACUGGGUGACUAGAGGACCGGAGAGGAUAGUGGAAUUCCCAGUGUAGUGGUGAAAUACGUAGAGAUUGGAGAACACCAGUGGCGAAGGCGGCUAUCUGGNCGUUACUGACGCUAGACUCGAAAGCGUGGGGAGCAAACAGGAUUAGAUACCCU
rnacentral:rRNA from 1 species